CCUACGGGUGGCAGCAGUGAGGAAUAUUGGUCAAUGGACGAGAGUCUGAACCAGCCAAGUAGCGUGAAGGAUGACUGCCCUAUGGGUUGUAAACUUCUUUUAUAUGGGAAUAAAAUGUUCCACGUGUGGGAUUUUGUAUGUACCAUAUGAAUAAGGAUCGGCUAACCACGUGCCCGCAGCCGCGGUAAUCAGGAAGAUCCGAGCGUUAUCCGGAUUUAUUGGGUUUAACGGGAGCGUAGGUGGAAUGUUAAGUCAGUUGUGAAAGUUUGCGGCGCAACCGUAAAAUUGCAGUUGAUACUGGCAGUCUGGAGUACAGGAGAGGUGGGCGGAAUUCGGGGUGUAGCGGUGAAAUGCUUAGAUAUCACGAAGAACUCCGAUUGCGAAGGCAGCUCACUGGACUGCAACUGACACUGAGGCUCGAAAGUGUGGGUAUCAAACAGGAUUAGAUACCCGAGUAGUC
rnacentral:rRNA from 1 species